CCUACGGGUGGCAGCAGUGAGGAAUAUUGGUCAAUGGGCGAGAGCCUGAACCAGCCAAGUCGCGUGAGGGAGUACUGCCCUAUGGGUUGUAAACCUCUUUUGUCGGGGAGCAAAAGCCGGACGUGUCCGGCUGUGAGAGUACCCGAAGAAAAAGCAUCGGCUAACUACGUGCCAGCAGCCGCGGUAAUACGGAGGAUGCGAGCGUUAUCCGGAUUUAUUGGGUUUAAAGGGUGCGCAGGCGGAUUUUUAAGUCAGCGUUAAAAUCGUGGGGUUCAACCCCAUCCAGCCGUUGAAACUGGGGAUCUAGAGUGUGCGAGAGGUAUGCGGAAUGCGUGGUGUAGCGGUGAAAUGCAUAGAUAUCACGCAGAACCCCGAUUGCGAAGGCAGCAUACCGGUGCACAACUGACGCUCAGGCACGAAAGCGUGGGUAUCGAACAGGAUUAGAUACCCUUGUAGUC
rnacentral:rRNA from 1 species